ensembl:lncRNA
CGUGUUCCGUCAUGGAAGGGAAAUACUGAACUUCCCUAAAUGUUAAUUUGCUUAGGACAGAAAAUAAAUGGACGACUGUCGAUGGCUGACCCUGUGUGUGGCCUCGGAUGAGUCCUCGGCGGGCGACUCGGUUGGUUUCUGCACCUGGCUGAUCCCUCGCUCCUCCUCGUCGAAGCUCAGGAUGAGGCAGAUGCUGUUACCCAGAGACCUCGUCACCUUGCCCGGGUCGUCAACAAUGACGCUGGAGACGCUGGUGACACUGGCUGAGCCUGGGUUAAUGGGCGCCGUGGCAACCCUGGGUGCACUUGUGACACUGAGGCUGCUAGACACACUUCCUGUGUGCUUGUGCUCGGGACCCGAUGGAGCCAGGUGAGCGUUUCCGGAGCCUUCCACAAGACCUGGUGACCUCUUCCUCUGAUUCAGUUGAUCCUUCUGGGACCUCCAGUUGUCUUGGAUCCAUCCCAGCAUGCUUUGCAGCUCAUCGGUUCUUUCCCUGAUCUGGGUCAGAGAGUGGACAACGGUUCAGUGCUUGGGAGGUCGUCAUGGUUACAGCAGAACUAGGUCAAGUAGUUAUUAAUAUAAACUGCAUGACAGCAUAAAAGCAUGACCACUCACAGUAUUGCACGUGCACAUUCUUUAGAUAUUCCAUCAUUCAGAACCAC